rnacentral:rRNA from 1 species
GCUGUGGGUGGUAGGGGAGCGUCCUGCACCGGGGGAAGCCUGUGGGUGACUGCUGGUGGACGGUGCGGGAGUGAGAAUGCAGGCAUGAGUAGCGAUACUAGGGUGAGAAGCCCUAGCGCCGAAUGACUAAGGGUUCCUGGGUCAGGUUCGUCUUCCCUGGGUGAGUCGGGACCUAAGGCGAGGCCGACAGGCGUAGUCGAUGGAUGACGGGUUGAUAUUCCCGUACCCGUGUGCGUGCGACAAGUGAUGAAUCUUAUGGUACUAACCGCCCGCCUACGUGCACUGGUCUUUUUGGUUGGUGUGUGUGGGUGCGUGGGAUCUUCGUGGGUAGUAGUCAAGUGAUGGGGUGACGCAGAGUGGUAGCUAGGCUUCCUUAUUGGAUUGGAGUGCAAGCGUGUGGCCUGUGGGGUUGGGAAAUCCGCCCCGCGUAUAAGGGUGAGGCGUGAUGCGGACACCAUGAGUGUGGUGGUAGUUAGUGUGCCUGUGCUGCCGAGAAAAGCCUCUAGCGAGUGCGUGCAUGGCCCGUACCGGAAACCGACACAGGUGGUCAGGUAGAGAAUACUAAGGCGUUCGGGUGAACUGUGGUUAAGGAACUCGGCAAAAUGCCCCCGUAACUUCGGGAGAAGGGGGACCAUUACUGGUUGCUGACAGCAUGAUGGCUGGUGGUGGUCGCAGAGGAGAGAGGGAAGCGACUGUUUAUUAAAAACACAGGUCCGUGCGAAAACGUGGAAGUUGAGGUAUACGGACUGACGCCUGCCCGGUGCUGGAAGGUUAAGAGGACCCGUGAGCACGCCUUUGUGGUGUGCGAGGCGGAGAAUUGAAGCCCCAGUAAACGGCGGUGGUAACUAUAACCAUCCUAAGGUAGCGAAAUUCCUUGUCGGGUAAGUUCCGACCUGCACGAAUGGCGUAACGACUUCCCCGCUGUCUCAACCAUGAGCUCGGCGAAAUUGCAGUACGAGUAAAGAUGCUCGUUUCGCGCAGAAGGACGGAAAGACCCCGGGACCUUUACUACAGCUUGGUAUUGGCGCCCGCUAUAGCUUGUGCAGGAUAGGUGGGAGACUGUGAAGCCGUUACGCCAGUGGCGGUGGAGUCGUCCUUGAAAUACCACUCUGGUUAUGGCGUGCGCCUGAACCUGGGCCCGUGAUCCGGGUUAGGGACAGUGCCUGGUGGGUAGUUUAACUGGGGCGGUUGCCUCCUAAAGUGUAACGGAGGCGCUCAAAGGUUCCCUCAGCCUGGUCGGCAACCAGGUGUUGAGUGCAAGUGCACAAGGGAGCUUGACUGUGAGACCGACGGGUCGAGCAGGUACGAAAGUAGGAACUAGUGAUCCGGCGAUCCCGUGUGGGUGGGUCGUCGCUCAACGGAUAAAAGGUACCCCGGGGAUAACAGGCUGAUCCUGCCCAAGAGUCCAUAUCGACGGGGUGGUUUGGCACCUCGAUGUCGGCUCGUCGCAUCCUGGGGCUGUAGUUGGUCCCAAGGGUUGGGCUGUUCGCCCAUUAAAGCGGUACGCGAGCUGGGUUCAGAACGUCGUGAGACAGUUCGGUCCCUAUCCGUCGCGGGCGUAGGAAAUUUGAGAGGAUCUGCUCCUAGUACGAGAGGACCAGAGUGGACUUACCGCUGGUGUACCAGUUGUCUUGCCAAAGGCAUCGCUGGGUAGCUAUGUAGGGAAGGGAUAAACGCUGAAAGCAUCUAAGUGUGAAACCCACCUCAAGAUGAGAUUUCCCAUGAUUUUAUAUCAGUAAGAGCCCUGAGAGAUGAUCAGGUAGAUAGGUUAGAAGUGGAAGUGUGGCGACACAUGUAGCGGACUAAUACUAAUAGCUC